rnacentral:snRNA from 1 species
AUACUUACCUGGCAGGGGAGAUACCAUGAUCACGAAGGUGGUUUUCCCAGGGCGAGGCUCACCCAUUGCACUCCGGGUGUGCUGACCCCUGCGAUUUCCCCAAAUGUGGGAAACUCGACUGCAUAAUUUGUGGUAGUGGGGGACUGCGUUCGCGCUCUCCCCCU